UUACUAAAAAAUUCUAUUCGCAUACAUAAUCGUAAAGUUUUAUCCUAAUGGCCUAUUCUACCACCCGUUGUCAACGAGUAUUUGUAACUUAUUUGCAGGAUAAACUUUACCCGCACUGGUGAAACCGGUCCUAAGUAUAUAUUAAUUGUUUCAUUAUGAUUAAAUUUAUAUGUGACUAUGUGCAAUUAUUAAGAUUGACGUAAGUAUUAAAUAAGUUAAUUAAAAAAUAUGUCGUACUUUAAAG
rnacentral:misc_RNA from 1 species